rnacentral:rRNA from 1 species
UGGCGGCGUGCCUAAUACAUGCAAGUCGAGCGGACCGAUGGGAGCUUGCUCCCUUAGGUCAGCGGCGGACGGGUGAGUAACACGUGGGUAACCUGCCUGUAAGACUGGGAUAACUCCGGGAAACCGGGGCUAAUACCGGAUGCUUGAUUGAACCGCAUGGUUCAAUCAUAAAAGGUGGCUUUUAGCUACCACUUACAKAUGGACCCKCGGCGCAUUAKCUAGUUGGUGAGGUAACGGCUCACCAAGGCGACGAUGCGUAGCCGACCUGAGAGGGUGAUCGGCCACACUGGGACUGAGACACGGCCCAGACUCCUACGGGAGGCAGCAGUAGGGAAUCUUCCGCAAUGGACGAAAGUCUGACGGAGCAACGCCGCGUGAGUGAUGAAGGUUUUCGGAUCGUAAAACUCUGUUGUUAGGGAAGAACAAGUACCGUUCGAAUAGGGCGGUACCUUGACGGUACCUAACCAGAAAGCCACGGCUAACUACGUGCCAGCCGCCGCGA